AUGUCACGCGAUUAGUCUCAAGUGCUUGUUGGAUCAUGGUGGUUGUGUUGUUCGAAUUGGACGGUUAAUUUAUAUGUAACUGGUGUGAUCCUGUGAAACAGAAGUGAAGUACAGAGGUUUCCACAGCCAUUGGAUCCUGACCUUGACCGAUGGUCUUCGUCACAGUCCGAGCUGAAGCGACGUCGCGGAAGCAAGAGUGCCGAAGACGUAAGGCAGUGUACGCGUGACGUCGCUCAAUCCCCUAAUCCACCACAUGGAGAAACUGACGCACGUGAUUUGUUGCAACUAGCGCUUGACCGCAUAUGCGAGUUGCAGAGAAAGCUGAUGCAGCGAGGCACUUGUGCCGCUGGAGGCCCAGUCGAAGAAUUUACAGUUACUUCUCUUAAUUUGACCUUCUACACAAUGAAGAAAAUCAUCAUCAACUUCGUACUUUUCUGACUUUCUGGCUCUCGGUAUAAGCCGUCGACCUGCAAAGCAUUGCCAUCGCAUUCGAAUGCUUAUACUUUUUACUACCUGAAGCUGCAGUUCAUCGUAGCUUCAUGUUACUUGAGCAUGAUAGACUUUUUCUUCCAAGCUUCCUUUCAUUACUGAAAGCUCUUCCUUCAAUCUCAACAGCUUCCAACUCUUCUCAACUGACAGGACAAUCCUCAGAUUCGGAAGAUGAUUUUGAUGAUGAAGAUGAUGAUGAAAACUACAGCGAAGCUAAUAACUCUUUCCAUGACCGCGAAAUAGUGUUGGCUGGAUACGAAUUCUGCCACAAAGAAGCUCUGAGGUUUCUCGUGGAAGAGGAACAUUUGGGACCAGAGCAUCCUGCAGUGCGGGAACUUACUGCUCAUUUGUCUUCCCGUAGGAACACAAUAGACUGUUCUCAGGUUCUGGCCAAUUAUUUGAUGCUGUCCUCCCCUUCUGCAGAUUCCAUAAAUGUGUAGUUCAGACAUAUGAUCGAUUUUAUUGCGGAUUUCAAAUGGAAAGUCUGCUAUAAUUUUAAGAUUCUUUACAAAAUAAUGAUCUCCCUAUACUUCCAAGUGAUCUGGUGUUUGAAUCUAAUAGCACAUUUUGAUUUGAUUUCUGUAGUAAAACGCAUGAAAAUACAUAUGCAUCGCGAUGCGCUCCCAGAUAUCCAGGCAGGCGUGGGAGGUUAAAUUUUAAUUUGCAACAUUUUCGUUCUCGAAAUGUAAGUGAACGACUACAAAUUUACCUGUAAUUCACCCUGGAAUCUACAUUUUGACCCAAGUAUGAUUAACGCGCUCAAAUCUUUUUGAACAGAACUUAUCGUGUUAUUUGUUUAAAUUAUACAAUUAACAAUAUUAUAAGUACGUCUACAAUUUGCCUAGUCGUGGAUGACAUGAAAAUUAAUAGGAUUACUGCCUUCUUUAUCAACGACAAAGUUCUUAAGUACUUCGACAACUUCAUAUCACAUACUACAACCUCUUUAACUAUACGAUGCGAUGCGUAGGGCACAGCUCAGCUCUACUAUAUUUAUUAUUAUUAAUACGUACAAGAGAACCAAAGUCAUUCAUUCUUUAAUAUAUUUCCUGCCUUUACACUCGAUUAUAAAUCACUGGAUAGCAAAUAGUUUGAUGAGUAAACUUUCAUUAUUAUACCAAGGGUAAAAAUAGGCACCGGGCUAAGUUAACAGGAUGGAGGCUGAUGUGCGAUCGGAUUUCUGGAGUCCUGGAAGUUUAUAAUGGUGGAAGACGUGUUUGGUGUGAAAAAUAAUCUAGUCAUUUGAAAUACUUAGUCAUAGUAAUAGUAAGACUUACUCUUUUUAUUGAAAACAUUAUUUUCAGUAUUACAGUAUAUUUCUGUAGUAACUAGGAUUAAGUAGAUGUUAAGAUAUUGCAAUUCACUUAAAAUAAAUAUUUCUGCAAAAAAUACCAUAAACUACAGAUCAUAUUUCAUGGACCAAUUUUGUGUCUAAACAUUUAAGUUUCUGUAGUGGUAGUUUUGCAUUGUCUCACAUACAUA